UGCAUAUAAAGUCUGGACUCGAGACGAGGAAUCGAUAAGAAUACGUUUCUGAAAUUUUUGAAUCCUUACUGUUUGCAUUCGGUGGCUCACAACACCCUCUCCGUUACCGGUUGCUGGUGGCCCCCGUCGGCGAGAAACAAUAUUCUCUUUCCGGUAAGACCUUUAGAUCCCUGCGAUUUAUCGGGAGCAAAUCCCUCUCGAGGAAGAGUGAGAAAAGGGAACGGCAUCGAUUGUUUAAUUGCAUCGAGAAAUAUCUUGAUCUCGUCUAUUUCCGCUGAAUUUUCUGCAAUAGAAUCUAUACCAUCGAUUACGUGAUUUCAUGGUUAUUUUGACCGUCGUCUUAUUUUCGUUGAUAUUUAUAGUUUAUACAGUGCUAGGGUUUUGUUUCCUGUAAAUUCGGGAAUGAAGAACAAUUAAUUGAAAUAUUGAUCGUGGGGCUUGUAUUGCAAAAGAUCUGUUUGUUUAGGUUUGAUAUAGGGGUUCAGUUUUUUCUAUUUUUGUUCUGUUUGUCUGCUUAAAGAAAAGAGUCCUUGGUUGCCUGCUUAAAGAAGAGUCCUUGUUUUAUUUUUAUUUUAUUUGCCUGCUUAAAGAAGAGUCCUUGGUUGUUAACAAUCAUUAUGGCGGCAGGGCAAAUCGAUUUCACAAGGAGAGAUGUUCAUUACUCUAAAAAAGACGCUUUCCGCUGUAAAAGCGGCUACCAUAACAAUCAAGACUGUAAUGUCAAACAUAACAAUGGGUGCAGCUUUUCUGAGGCCGUUGGUGGAAGAGAUGUUAAUAGGCAGGGGAGAAGAUUUGCUAGCGGGACUAGUGGCUAUGAACUGGGUGAGUUAUCAGAUCAAAGCAAGUCCAGCAAUGCCUUCGCUCAAACGUCCAUGGCUGGGAACUAUGAGAUUUCAAAGCCCAAAGAUGAGGUCUCGAUGCCUAUGGAAAAGAAGAGGAAAUAUUCACCAGUUUUUGGGCACACGGAGGACAAGAGACUAAUUUACUCAGAGAGAGUCACCAAAGAAACUGCUCUUCCCUGCUCUAUGCCAUCUUUGCCAGAAUCCUUCAUGAAGGUAUCAAAUGUAUAUUCUAUAACAGCUAUUAAGCUUCAGGGCUUUCAUGCAUUGCCUACUAAAUCUCAUGAGGCAGCUGGCCCAGUGGGGAAUUAUGAAUCCAGGCAUCUGAUUGGUUUGCUCUCUUCGUUGCCUCAAGAGCAGGGAAGGAGCAAUGAUGAAGAGGUGAUACAGGUGGAAGAUGAGCACCCCAAGGUUCAUCAAAUCUCGACAUCCAGGUGGGCAUCAUUUGAGGAAGACUCACUUGGUGAAACAUGUUAUGAGGAUAGAGAUAUUCCUGGUAGGAGAGUUGUUCAGCAAGUGGAUUUUUUGAACAGUCCUGAAAGUGGGGAGUUAUGUGAAGAGAUUUUGAACCCUACAAGGAGAGGUGGUAACUCAGAUAGUGAGGGGAGCACUGAUGUUUUUUUGCAGAAUGGUAAGAUGCAUGAUGAGAUUGCUGGUGUUAGCCAUAACUCAGAUCUAGAAGAUGACAAAGAUUCCUCUGGGUUUCUUGAACCUGCAGCCCCUAAAGCUAGAGAUGGCAACAUGCCUCGAGGUUGUAGAAGUGUUUUUGAAUAUGAGAAACUUAGCAGGAUAAAUGAAGGCACGUAUGGUGUUGUGUAUAAAGCUAGGGAUAAGAAAACAGAUCAAGUUGUGGCAUUGAAGAAGGUGAAGAUGGAGACAAAAGGUGAUGGCUUCCCACUGUCAUCUUUGAGGGAAAUAAGUAUUCUUUUGUCUCUACACCAUCCUUCAUUAGUGGAUUUCAAAGAAGUUGUCAUGGACAGCCAUCAAGAUGUCUUUAUUGUCAUGGAUUACAUGGAACAUGACCUCAAGGGGCUCAUGGGGACUAUGAAACAGCCUUUUAGUGAAAAAGAAGUAAAAUGCCUGAUGCUACAGCUUUUGGAGGGAGUCAAAUAUCUUCAUGAUAAUUGGGUUCUCCACAGAGAUUUGAAGACGUCUAAUAUACUUCUAAACAACAGCGGCAAGUUGAAAAUAUGUGACUUUGGAAUGUCUCGCCAAUAUGGGAGCCCAUUGAGAACGUAUACCCCUUUGGUUGUCACUUUGUGGUACAGUCUCUACCCACUUCAUUCCAGGGCACCUGAACUUCUGCUUGGAGCAAAACCAUAUUCAACUGCAGUGGAUAUGUGGUCAGUGGGUUGUAUAAUGGCAGAGCUAUUAGCAAAGCAUCCCCUAUUUAACGGGAAAACUGAACUUGAUCAGCUUGACAAGAUUUUUAGAAUUAUUGGCGUGCCAAAUGAGACAAACUGGCCAGGAUUUUCUGAAUUGCCAGGAGCCAAAGUUAAGUUUGUUAAUCAAUUGAGGAAUACAUUGCGCGAGACGUUUCCUGCCAUUAGCUUCAAGGGGUCUCCGGUACUUUCGGAGCGGGGCUUCGAUUUGUUGAGCCGGCUUCUAACUUGUGACCCUGAGCAGCGAAUUACGGCUGAAGCUGCUCUUAAGCAUAGCUGGUUCCAUGUGGAAUCCGCGCACGAGCGGCGUUCUGUCCAGGAAUCCCUUGCCAGGAGGCUCAAGUCAAUGACCACCUAUUGCUAGCCAAUGUUUAAAAAGCAGGCCUCAACGUUUUGACUAUUGCAGCACGGAAUGAAUGAAUUAAGGAUUCCGUGAAACUCAGGUCAGCUUAAGAAAUUGGGGGUGUGACCUCGAAUUUCGUCCCGGCAAGCUGUAAUUUUUUCAUGUAUCAUAGGAAGAGUGGAAGCUUGCGGCAGGGUUUGAACAGAAGCGCCCUAAUAAGAAAUUCGAGAAGAAGUUGCACAGUGAACAAAGCAAGAAAUUUGUAUUGUUCUGCAUGCAUACCAAAGGCUUGUCGCUUGUGGUAUGAGGACAUAUAAGAAGCCAGCUGGGUAUUUGUGGGAAUGGGAACAUAAUCAGUUGAUUCCAGAUCACUUUCUGAGUAGUACAUUGGUAAUGCACUUGUUGGAUUGGCUACUUCCAAGCUUCCUAAAUUAGUCAUAGAUCCAAUCUGAGAAGCCCCAUUAGGAUUGGCUGUAACAUAAGCAUGCCAUCUACUAGCCACUGAUGCAAUGCCUUGAGCUCUGUGUGUAAUCUUCACAGCUGCAUGCAUACAAAGAAUCAUUCCAACAAGCUGUACGAUUGAAGAGAC